rnacentral:misc_RNA from 1 species
AGAAAACCGUUCUGAACUUCGAACGACCCAAAAUAUUGUAUUAUGACAAAACAUUCGUCAAAGAUCUGAUCGUUACAUCCAGAAGAUAUAAUCGUUCAAAUCCACUUUAUUUUGUUACCAUAGAGCUCGAGCUGUUGCAAAAUGUUGAUAAUAGUUUUGUGUGGAACAUUUACUUUUACCAGGUUAUAUCGAGUCAAUAUAAACAAAGUUUAAUUGAUUUACAUUAUGGUAAUUGUGAUUUAUUUUUGACUGAAAAUUCCUUUAGAAGGCCCUUAACGGAAGC